CGCGAACUUUCUCCUUAGAAUCGGAACGGACGAAGAAGGAAGACAAGGAAGAAGAUCGGAGAUGGCAUCGAAUGCGGCGGUUCCGUUCUGGAGAGCGGCGGGGAUGACAUAUAUAUCGUAUUCAAACAUCUGUGCGAAUAUCGUGAGGAACUGUCUCAAGGAGCCACACAAAGCUGAAGCUCUUACUCGCGAGAAGGUUCACUUCUCUCUCUCCAAAUGGGCUGAUGGAAAGCC
rnacentral:sRNA from 1 species